UUUUAAGGUAGAGUUUGAUCGUGGUUUAGGAUGAACGCUCCCCUUGUGAUUAAAAUAUGUUAGUUGAGGGAUGAAGUUUUUUUCGGGAAGUGGAUUAUGGGGGGAGGGGUGAGUAACACUUGGGUAACCUGCCUCAAAGUGGGGGAUAGCCUUCCGAAAGGAAGAUUAAUACCGCAUAACAUAAGAGAAUCGCAUGAUUUUCUUAUCAAAGAUUUAUUGCUUUGAGAUGGACCCGCGGCGCAUUAGCUAGUUGGUAAGGUAACGGCUUACCAAGGCAACGAUGCGUAGCCGACCUGAGAGGGUGAUCGGCCACAUUGGAACUGAGACACGGUCCAGACUCCUACGGGAGGCAGCAGUGGGGAAUAUUGCGCAAUGGGGGAAACCCUGACGCAGCAACGCCGCGUGGGUGAUGAAGGUCUUCGGAUUGUAAAGCUCUGUUUUCUGGGACGAUAAUGACGGUACCAGAGGAGGAAGCCACGGCUAACUACGUGCCAGCAGCCUCGGUAAUACGUAGGUGGUGAGCGUUGUCCGGAUUUACUGGGCGUAAAGGGUGCGUAGGCGGAAGUUUAAGUGGGGAUGUGAAAUCCCCGGGCUUACCCGGGGGGUGCCAUUCCAAAAUUGAUAUUUAGAGUGCAGGAGAGGAAAGGGAAUUUCUAGUGUAGCGGUGAAAUGCGUAGAGAUUAGGAAGGACACCAGUGGGGAAGGCGGCUUUCUGGACGUAAACUGACGCUGAGGCACGAAAAGCGUGGGUAGCAAACAGGAUUAGAUACCCUGGUAGUCCACGCCGUAAACGAUGGAUACUAGGUGUAGGGGGUAUCAACUCCCCCUGUGCCGCAGUUAACACAAUAAGUAUCCCGCCUGGGGAGUACGGUCGCAAGAUUAAAACUCAAAGGAAUUGACGGGGGCCCGCACAUGCAGCGGAGCAUGUGGUUUAAUUCGAAGCAACGCGAAGAACCUUACCUGGACUUGACAUCCCUUGCAUAGCCUAGAGAUAGGUGAAGCCCUUCGGGGCAAGGAGACAGGUGGUGCAUGGUUGUCGUCAGCUCGUGUCGUGAGAUGUUAGGUUAAGUCCUGCAACGAGCGCAACCCUUGUUAUUAGUUGCUACCAUUAAGUUGAGCACUCUAAUGAGACUGCCUGGGUAACCAGGAGGAAGGUGGGGAUGACGUCAAAUCAUCAUGCCCCUUAUGUCCAGGGCUACACACGUGCUACAAUGGUAGGUACAAUAAGACGCAAGACCGUGAGGUGGAGCAAAACUUAUAAAACCUAUCUCAGUUCGGAUUGUAGGCUGCAACUCGCCUACAUGAAGCUGGAGUUGCUAGUAAUCGCGAAUCAGAAUGUCGCGGUGAAUACGUUCCCGGGCCUUGUACACACCGCCCGUCACACCAUGAGAGCUGGUAACACCCGAAGUCCGUGAGGUAACCGUAAGGAGCCAGCGGCCGAAGGUGGGAUUAGUGAUUGGGGUGAAAUGGUAACAAGGUAACC
rnacentral:rRNA from 1 species